CCGGCGACCGGCGCACGGGUGAGUAACACGUAUGCAACCUGCCCUCUUCAGGGGGACAACUUCCGAAAGGGAGGCUAAUCCCGCGUAUAUCGGUUUCGGGCAUCCGAGAUCGAGGAAAGAUUCAUCGGAAGAGGAUGGGCAUGCGGCGCAUUAGCUAGACGGCGGGGUAACGGCCCACCGUGGCGACGAUGCGUAGGGGUUCUGAGAGGAAGGUCCCCCACACUGGUACUGAGACACGGACCAGACUCCUACGGGAGGCAGCAG
rnacentral:rRNA from 1 species